AGAUCCCCUUUCUUCCUCUCCCCUUUCUUUUGAUCUGCGAGGAGAUCCUGAGCGGCACGAGCAAGCGAGAGGACGAGAGGUGAGAGAGCUCUGCGUUUAGGGUUUGUGAAAGUCCCACAGAGAUUUCCCAAAAGGGGGCAGAGAGAGUGAGAGAUUUAGAGAGACGAGAGAGAGAUUGUCUUUUUGUGUGUGGUCUAGGGUUUCUCGCUUCUCUUUUGUUACACCGAAGCCAUCUCCGACUCUCUCAUGGACCGAAAGCUUGUGGUUAGCUCUUUUUUUUUUUCUUUUCUUUUUUGAAUUUUAUUCAUUUUCGUAUGAAUUAAUAUCUAUAGGAUGUAAAAAAAUUAAUUUUAAUAUCUAUAGGUUCUGGGAAUUAACGGUGUAGAUGAUCAGCACAGGUUUUUCUCAAUCUGUCUCUGAUUAUGACUUCUCGAUUACUAAUUUUUAUUAAAAUACUCUGGGGCUUUCGAUCUAUAUGAUGUCUUAUUUUGUUUGCAAUUUUUUAAUUACAAAAUGGAUAAACUUUGUGGGGUUUAAUGAAAGUUUAUAGGGCUCUUAAAAAAUAUAUUUUUAGGAGGUUUUAAGAAAAUGUCCGACUUGGGUUCUGUUUGUUUGUUUUGCUUGUAUUUUGAUGCUAUUUUGUCUGUGUUUAUUUCGUGGUUUAGUUCACGCAUGUAUUUGGGAAUAUAGAGAGACAGGGUUUUUGGUUUUGGAAAUUUAACAUGUUUUGGUAUAACUUUCUAGGAUAGUGUUGUGUGGUAAUUCGUUUUUGUGUAUCAUAUUUUCUGGGUUUUUCUUUUUAUUAUUGCUCUUACACAUGCCUCUCACCAGGUGUUUUUACAGUUUGUCUAUGUAAAGUUGUUUGCCUAAGUUAUAGUUCCCUUACAUAAAUUUUUAUUGCGUGUUUCGUAUCACAUCAUUGUCGAUUUUUGAUGGUUACUAGAGAUCUUUUGUGCUUACGCAUGUGUCUCUGUACUUCCUCAUUUACUCGGUAUUAUCUCAUGAAGACAUUAAUAUAUACUACUUUCUGUCCUUUGUUUUGUGCCAUAAAAUUUUUGUAGUCAACAUUCACCUGGUUGGAGCAUGUUUGAACAUCUAUUGAAACUGAUUAAAUUAUAACUGUUUGUGAAUGUGGACUAUAAUUGUUAGCUUGGACUAUGAGACCAGUUGGAAGUCAUAAUUAGAAGUUCUCUCAAUAAGUUGAAGCAGCUUCGGCACCAAAUAAAUCUUGAAAAUUGAUCCCGUGUCAUUAGUUUUGAAAAUUAAACAGAGAAAAAAGAAAGAAUAGCCUUUUCUUUCCAUGAACCUAUGCUUCUGUAUAGAACAUGCUUGGAUAUAAAUCAAAUAUUUGAUGCCAGAACUCAUUCUUAUAAAGUUAUAUUGCAAGGUGUUAAUUUGAUGUCCUGGAAGCUCAUCCCUGCCACGACAUGUGUAGUCUACUUAGUUUUCUUAAUUAAUAGCCUAAAUUAGUUGCUGCCUGUUUUAGUUUUUGUUAUUUUUUUCUUACAUGUCACUGGAAAUUCUAUUAGUGUACUUGAUUUUAUUUGUUUUUUGUCUCCACGAAGGUGUCGUUUUCUUUUAGUUGGUCUAUCAUAAUUUUUUAUGCAUCUUAAACAAUUGCUUGAUUCAUAAACUACCCUCUUUUAACAUUAUUGCAGAAAAUUAAUUAAUCAAAGGGCAUCCUUGUCCCUUGCUCCUAUACAAUGCAACUUUUUGCUUUUUAUUGUUUGCUUUGGUAUGUUAAAUAUUGUGUUGGGAAUAUAACCUUCGAAGUGAACUCAAUGUGUUCAAUAAAAUUGUUUUCUUCUUUAUAUAUAAAAUAUCAAUAAAUGGGAACCAGACAUUGAGUGGUCAAACAUCUUACUUUAAUUAAUUUUAAUAUGCUUAUACAAUGGCCAGUCUUGAUGGCCAUGCUAGGUCUUUUAUUUUCCUCACUUUCUUUUCUUUUCUUUUCUGUUCUUUUUCUUUUAUGGUGAAUUAGUUGAUUUCAUAUUAAUGUGCUUAAGUCUUUGUUGGAAGUGUGAAAAGAGAUAUAUAGAUGCUUAGAUCUGAUGAAUUUAGUUUGAUGGCAAGAGAAAAAUACGACUUGCAGUUUUGAAUUUUGAUGAAGAUUGUUUCUGGGUAGAUUAUGUUUUCUAACAGGAAACAUGUAGUUUUAAUUUUUAAUUUUGGGGAAUAUGGUUUUGUACUAUGCGAAUAAGAUCUCUUCUUGUAAGUUCCCAUCCUCUUCCAUCAACUUUGUUGUUUUUGAACCCAAUAAUUUUUUAUUACAAAUUUCUGCAGAAUUUUUUAUUUUAUUUUAUUUUAUUGUGCUUUUAAAUUAUGAGAGCCACCUUGACUAGAAUAAAAGAGUUGGCUUAUGAAUAAAUAAUAGUGACAUAUAUGAUUUGUAUGAAAUUUCUCAAAUUCGAAGGUUUGUAUAUCUUUCAUUUUUUGUAUUGUCACUGAGCAAAGGUCUGUCGUCUUUGAUUGAAACCGAAAUUGAUCAUGUUUGUUAGAUUUGAGAUAAGUCAAAACUGAGGGGAUGUUGUGCGAUUAAAGAGGUCUUUAUAUGUACAUAAAUAAAAGGUAACAUCUUUUUUAAUGCUAACAAAUUGUAUCGCUUAUUGUGAGGUGUUUAUAAGGAUUUGUUGUUGAUUUUUGUUUGUUUUGUAAUUGAUUUGUAUUAGCAUUUUAGCUAGCUGAUUGGGAGAUUUAAGACCGAAGAAAGCAGUUCGUGAAUUGGUGACUUGCAAUGAAAUUGGGGAGAAGAGGGACUUGCACAAAAUGGCCCAUUAACUGGACAAUAUGAUAGUUAACUUGGUGAUGGCUUUUCAAAUUCAUGCUCGAUUUGCUGGUAAUAAUUGACAGAAGAAGCUCCGAUUCCUUCUACCACCAUCACUUUUUGGACUCGUGUUCUUUAGUGUGUACUCACAUUCUUAUGCAAUGAGUCGCAGAUGAGAGAGAGAGACAGAGACAGAGACG
rnacentral:lncRNA from 1 species